CGCGGGGUAGAGCAGUUGGUAGCUCGUCGGGCUCAUAACCCGGAGGUCGAAGGUUCAAGUCCUUCCCCCGCAACCA
rnacentral:tRNA from 1 species